GACGAACGCUGGCGGCGUGCUUAACACAUGCAAGUCGAGCGGUAAGGCCCCUUCGGGGGUACACGAGCGGCGAACGGGUGAGUAACACGUGAGCAAUCUGCCCUUCACACGGGGAUAACUCCGGGAAACCGAAGCUAAUACCCGAUACGACCACUUCAGGCAUCUGAUGGUGGUGGAAAGUUCCGGCGGUGAAGGAUGAGCCCGCGGCCUAUCAGCUUGUUGGUGGGGUAACGGCCCACCAAGGCAACGACGGGUAGCCGGCCUGAGAGGGUGACCGGCCACACUGGGACUGAGACACGGCCCAGACUCCUACGGGAGGCAGCAGUGGGGAAUAUUGGGCAAUGGGCGAAAGCCUGAUCCAGCAACGCCGCGUGAGGGAUGACGGCCUUCGGGUUGCAAACCUCUUUCAGCAGGGACGAAGCGCAAGUGACGGUACCUGCAGAAGAAGCACCGGCCAACUACGUGCCAGCCGCCGCGGUAA
rnacentral:rRNA from 1 species